AAUAAUCAGCCGACCAGAGUACGGACCUGCAAGCUAUUUCCAAUCGCACCCUUUGUUAAAAAAUCUGGUGCUUAUGCCUCUACUUCCACCCUUUGUUAAAAAAUCUUUUUUAACUAAAAGUGGCUGUUCUAGCAUUUCAAGAACUUGAGAUAGAGAAUUUAAUGUCAUCGAAGUUGAGAUUUUGUGAGUGAGGUCAACAUUCAAAGUACAAAACACGAGGUGGUAAAUGGGUUUCAGGCAUGAGCGCAUCAUUUUGCAGGCUAUUUGGGAAUAAAAACAAACAGAAGAGAAACAAAAGCUAUCGGUUUGCAGGGAUUUUCGGUACUCUCCACACCGCAAUUCAUUGCACGCUGUCUGUCAUUACUUACAAGUGGCCGUUUCAUUUGACCAGAUAUAAUCAAAUGCAGCAACGCAACAAAAUAAUUAAAGUUGACAUGCAGAGAGAAGAGAUUCUUCUGUACACGUGAAGCAGAUUGUGACAUCUGUCGAUGAUUUUGAUUCAGACUGCAUCAUAAAAGGGGGACCAGAUCAGACCAGACCAGACCAGAGAAGAGAAGAGAAGAGAGAAAGAAGAAAGAAGAAAGAUAUUAUCAAAUAUGAAGAGCUUUCAUAAGCUUCAAGUCUUGACAUUGCUUAUUAUUAUUACUUUCUUCUUUCAACACUCCCAUGCCUCACGAGCUCUUUUAAAAGAUAAGAGUAAUGAGAUGGUGGGAGCAGGAGGCAAUCCGGGCAAAGCCCAACUGAAUGUUACCGAAGGUAAAACGCACAAGGUGAUGGCAAACUGUGAAGAGAGCUAUGUUCAUCAUGAUAAGGCAGAGGAAUGCCAUAAUUCUGCAACUCGGGAGAUCGAAGACAGUGAUUACAUUUAUACAAAUUCUACACCCUAAGAUUGCUUUUUUGUAACUUAUAGCAAAUAAGCUCCCUCUGUACUAUUAGAUUUCCAGAGAAAGUUUCUCUGAUAGUUUAAUCCUGUAUGGGCUUCAACAAAUUAAGACUUAGAAUGUUUAGUGGAGACAUUAUAACCAGAUGUACAUGUAGAAAGAAUAUUUAUGUUGUGGGCAUGAAAUACUGUCCUAAUUAUUUGAAUUUUUCACUGAAUCAGCCAGAAUAGGUAACAUAUGUUGCUGCAAUCUA